GACGAACGCUGGCGGCGUGCUUAACACAUGCAAGUCGAACGGAGUGGCGAACGGGUGAGUAACACGUGGGUGAUCUGCCUUUCACUUCGGGAUACGCUUGGGAAACUGGGUCUAAUACCGGAUAGUGCAAGAUGAACGCGCGGCCUAUGAGCUUGUUGGUGGGGUAAUGGCCUACCUAGGCGUCGACGGGUAGCCGGCCUGAGAGGGUGUACGGCGACAUGGGGACUGAGGUACGGACCAGACUCCUACGGGAGGCAGCAGUGGGGAAUAUUGCACAACGGGGGGAAGCAUGAUGAAGCGGCGCUGCGUGGGGGAUGAAGGCCUUCGGGUGGGAAACUCCUUUCGACAGGGACGCGGUACCUGUAUAAGAAGCACCGGCUAACUACGUGCCAGCAGCCGCGGUAAUAC
rnacentral:rRNA from 1 species